rnacentral:rRNA from 1 species
CUGCAGGCUGNAACCCGCCUGCACGAAGUUGGAAUUGCUAGUAAUCGUGGAUCAGCAUGCCACGGUGAAUACGUUCCCGGGUCUUGUACACACCGCCCGUCACACCAUGGGAGUCGGUAACACCCGAAGUCAGUAGUCUAACCGCAAGGAGGACGCUGCCGAAGGUGGGAUUGACGACUGGGGUGAAGUCGUAACAAGGUAUC